AGCUUGUAGGCGGUUGGUUGCGUCGAAAGUGCAAACUCAGGGCUUAACUCUGAGCCUGCUUUCGAUACGGGCUGACUGGAGGAAGGUAGGGGGGAAUGGAAUUCCCGGUGGAGCGGUGGAAUGCGCAGAUAUCGGGAGGAACACCAGUGGCGAAGGCGGUUCUCUGGACCUUUCCUGACGCUGAGAAGCGAAAGCGUGGGGAGCAAACAGGCUUAGAUACCCUGGUAGUCCACGCUGUAAACGGUGGGUACUAGGUGUGGGGGACAUUCCACGUUCUCUGUGCCGUAGCUAACGCAUUAAGUACCCCGCCUGGGGAGUACGGCCGCAAGGCUAAAACUCAAAGGAAUUGACGGGGCCCCGCACAAGCGGCGGAGCAUGCGGAUUAAUUCGAUGCAACGCGAAGAACCUUACCUGGGUUUGACAUAUAUCGGAAACGUUCAGAGAUGGGCGCCCCGUAAGGUCGGUAUACAGGUGGUGCAUGGCUGUCGUCAGCUCGUGUCGUGAGAUGUUGGGUUAAGUCCCGCAACGAGCGCAACCCUCGCCCAAUGUUGCCAGCGGGUUAUGCCGGGGACUCAUUGGAGACCGCCGGGGUCAACUCGGAGGAAGGUGGGGAUG
rnacentral:rRNA from 1 species